rfam:Ictidomys tridecemlineatus contig027368, whole genome shotgun sequence.
GGGGUUGUGGCUCAGUGGUAGAGCACUUGCCUAGCAUGUGCGAGGCCCUGGGUUCAAUCCUCAGCACCA